rnacentral:tRNA from 1 species
GCCUGGGUGGCUCAGUCAGUUGAGCGUCCGACUUCAGCUCAGGUCAUGAUCUCACAGUUCGUGAGUUCGAGCCCCACGUCGGGCU